AUUGAACGCUGGCGGCAGGCCUAACACAUGCAAGUCGAGCGGAUGAGCGGAGCUUUCUCCUUGAUUUAGCGUCGGACGGGUGAGUAAUGCCUAGGAAUCUGCCUGGUAGUGGGGUAUAACGUUCCGAAAGGAACGCUAAUACCGCAUACGUCCUACUGGAGAAAGCAGGGGACCUUCGGGCCUUGCGCUAUCAGAUGAGCCUAGUUCGGAUUAGAUAGUUGGUUAGGUAAUGGCUCACCAAGGCGACGAUCCGUAACUGGUCUGAGAGGAUGAUCGGUCACACGGGAACGGAGACACGGUCCAGACUCCUGAGGGAGGCAGCAGUGGGGAAUAUUGGACAAUGGGCGAAAGCAUGAUACAGCCAUGCCGCGUGUGUGAAGAAGGUCUUCGGAUUGUAAAGCACUUUAAGUUGGGAGGAAGGGCAGUAAGCUAAUACCUUGCUGUUUUGACGUUACCGAGAGAAUAAGCACCGGCUAACUUCGUG
rnacentral:rRNA from 1 species